rnacentral:miRNA from 1 species
AACUGGCCUGUAAAGUCCCGCU